AUCACCAUGCAGUGCACACGGGGAACAUCUUCAAGCCCUUUGUACGAUACUCUGAUUUCUAGAAUGUACUUCACUGGACCUGAGGCAGAAAUUCUGCUCUACCUCAAGUAGUCCUCAAAAAUAUAUGAUUCGAUUCCUGUCUCAGAGUUCUGGCGUCAAAAUGUGUUUUGUUGUGAUUGCAAACAUGGAGUGUGUUUGUUUCCAGACUGCAACGGGGCUAGCCAGGGGAUAUUCAGCAGCCCCGCUGUGGUGAUUGGACAGCGUUAGCUGCAUUUCUACUGUAAAUCUCCCCACAAUUACUGUUUAUAAAUCAAUAACUUCACAACCACACAUGUUCGAGCAGGAAUCUCAUCCGGAAUCGGGGAGGAUGAGCAGCAUCAGCAAACUCAAUCUCAAAGUUUUCCAAUUUGCUCAGGUACAUUUCUGACCAACAGACGAAGAAUCUUUGAAUACAAAUUCAGAGACCCCUAAAGUGGACCAUACCAUUUCUUAACCGUACGUUAUGUGAACGUCUCAAUUGCCUGGCUGGGAUGAGAAUCAGGACCUCCAAAAAUUUAGAUUAAGGUUUCAAAAUUAUUCUUUGCAUUUGUAACCCUGUAUUGUAUAAUGACAAAUAAAUUACCUUAUACGCACAGGCCUGCUACAGCCAUA